GAAGUUAAACGGCCGCGGUAUCCUGACCGUGCAAAGGUAGCAUAAUCACUUGUUCCUUAAUUAGGGACUAGCAUGAAUGGCUAGACGAGGGUUCUACUGUCUCUUAUUCUCAAUCAGUGAAAUUGACCUUCCAGUGAAGAGGCUGGGAUAAUAAAAUAAGACGAGAAGACCCUAUGGAGCUUAAAUUAACUAGCUUAACUAUUAUAAUGUAACCUAAUGGACUAAAUAUAAAAUUUAAUAAGCUAGCAAUUUCGGUUGGGGUGACCUCGGAGAACAAAAAAUCCUCCGAAUGAUUUUAGCAUAGACUAACAAGUCAAAGCAAUUACUCAAAUCUUAUUGACCCAAUUUUUAUUGAUCAACGGACCAAGUUACCCUAGGGAUAACAGCGCAAUCCUAUUUAAGAGUUCAUAUCGACAAUAAGGGUUUACGACCUCGAUGUUGGAUCAGGACAUCCCAA
rnacentral:rRNA from 1 species